CAAAAUUAGAGUUUGAUCCUAGCUCAGGAUGAACGCUGGCGGCGUGGAUAAGGCAUGCAAGUCAAGGGGGCCGCAAGGCAACCGGCAGACGAGGUAGUAAUAAGCAGGUACGUACCGAAGAGUCAGGCAUAGCUCAUCGAAAGGUGAGGUAAUUCCUGAUAGUCCGUACAUCUCACAAAGUUUCGAUGUAGAAUUAAGAAUAUAGAAUUAUGAAUUAUGGGUAAGAAGCGAUUCUUCAUUCAUACUUCCUAAUUCAUACUUCAUACUUCUGCACCGAGGUUUUGCGAGGUGCGCGGUAAAGUCGCAAGACGCUUUUUGAACGGCCUGCUCGGUAUCAGCUAGUUGGUGAGGUAAAAGCUCACCAAGGCUAUGACGCCUAGGGGACCUGAGAGGGUGACCCCCACCGAUGGAACUGAGAAACGGUCCAUACACCUACGGGUGGCUGCAGCCGAGAAUAUUCGACAAUGGACGAAAGUCUGAUGGAGCGACGCCGCGUGCAGGAUGAAGUCCUUCGGGAUGUAAACUGCUUUUGUGGGAUAGAAAGUUUAUUGAUCAUCCCAAGAAUAAGAGGUUACUAAACUCGUGCCAGCAGUAGCGGUAAUACGAGUGCCUCAAGCGUUAUCCGGAAUUACUGGGCGUAAAGGGUGUGUAGGCGGC
rnacentral:rRNA from 1 species